AGAGUUUGAUCAUGGCUCAGAUUGAACGCUGGCGGAAUGCUUUACACAUGCAAGUCGAACGGAACUUAGGGGCUUGCUCCUAAGUUUAGUGGCGAACGGGUGAGUAAUAUAUCGGAACGUAUCCAUUAAUGGGGGAUAACUAAUCGAAAGGUUGGCUAAUACCGCAUACGCCCUACGGGGGAAAGCAGGGGAUCUUCGGACCUUGCGUUAAUGGAGCGGCCGAUAUCUGAUUAGCUAGUUGGUGAGGUAAAGGCUCACCAAGGCGACGAUCAGUAGCUGGUCUGAGAGGACGACCAGCCACACUGGAACUGAGACACGGUCCAGACUCCUACGGGAGGCAGCAGUGGGGAAUUUUGGACAAUGGGCGAAAGCCUGAUCCAGCCAUUCCGCGUGAGUGAAGAAGGCCUUCGGGUUGUAAAGCUCUUUCGCAAGGGAAGAAAACUUAUAUUCUAAUAAAGUAUGAGGAUGACGGUACCUUGAUAAGAAGCACCGGCUAACUACGUGCCAGCAGCCGCGGUAAUACGUAGGGUGCGAGCGUUAAUCGGAAUUACUGGGCGUAAAGCGUGCGCAGGCGGUUUUGAAAGUCAGAUGUGAAAUCCCCGAGCUCAACUUGGGAACUGCGUUUGAAACUCCAAAGCUAGAGUAUAGGAGAGGGGGGUAGUAUUCCACGUGUAGCAGUGAAAUGCGUAGAGAUGUGGAGGAAUACCAAUGGCGAAGGCAGCCCCCUGGCCUAAUACUGACGCUCAUGCACGAAAGCGUGGGGAGCAAACAGGAUUAGAUACCCUGGUAGUCCACGCCCUAAACGAUGUCUACUAGUUGUUGGUGGAGUAAAAUCCAUUAGUAACGCAGCUAACGCGUGAAGUAGACCGCCUGGGGAGUACGGUCGCAAGAUUAAAACUCAAAUGAAUUGACGG
rnacentral:rRNA from 1 species